UCGAUUCCCUUAGUAGCGGCGAGCGAAACGGGAAGAGCCCAAACCAACAAGCUUGCUUGUUGGGGUUGUAGGACACUCUAUACGGAGUUACAAAGGACGACAUUAGACGAAUCAUCUGGAAAGAUGAAUCAAAGAAGGUAAUAAUCCUGUAGUCGAAAAUGUUGUCUCUCUUGAGUGGAUCCUGAGUACGACGGAGCACGUGAAAUUCCGUCGGAAUCUGGGAGGACCAUCUCCUAAGGCUAAAUACUCUCUAGUGACCGAUAGUGAACCAGUACCGUGAGGGAAAGGUGAAAAGCACCCCGGAAGGGGAGUGAAAUAGAACCUGAAACCGUGUGCUUACAAGUAGUCAGAGCCCGUUAAUGGGUGAUGGCGUGCCUUUUGUAGAAUGAACCGGCGAGUUACGAUUUGAUGCAAGGUUAAGCAGUAAAUGUGGAGCCGUAGCGAAAGCGAGUCUGAAUAGGGCGUUUAGUAUUUGGUCGUAGACCCGAAACCAGGUGAUCUACCCUUGGUCAGGUUGAAGUUCAGGUAACACUGAAUGGAGGACCGAACCGACUUACGUUGAAAAGUGAGCGGAUGAACUGAGGGUAGCGGAGAAAUUCCAAUCGAACCUGGAGAUAGCUGGUUCUCUCCGAAAUAGCUUUAGGGCUAGCCUCAAGUGAUGAUUAUUGGAGGUAGAGCACUGUUUGGACGAGGGGCCCCUCUCGGGUUACCGAAUUCAGACAAACUCCGAAUGCCAAUUAAUUUAACUUGGGAGUCAGAACAUGGGUGAUAAGGUCCGUGUUCGAAAGGGAAACAGCCCAGACCACCAGCUAAGGUCCCAAAAUAUAUGUUAAGUGGAAAAGGAUGUGGCGUUGCCCAGACAACUAGGAUGUUGGCUUAGAAGCAGCCAUCAUUUAAAGAGUGCGUAAUAGCUCACUAGUCGAGUGACACUGCGCCGAAAAUGUACCGGGGCUAAACAUAUUACCGAAGCUGUGGAUUGUCCUUUGGACAAUGGUAGGAGAGCGUUCUAAGGGCGUUGAAGCAUGAUCGUAAGGACAUGUGGAGCGCUUAGAAGUGAGAAUGCCGGUGUGAGUAGCGAAAGACGGGUGAGAAUCCCGUCCACCGAUUGACUAAGGUUUCCAGAGGAAGGCUCGUCCGCUCUGGGUUAGUCGGGUCCUAAGCUGAGGCCGACAGGCGUAGGCGAUGGAUAACAGGUUGAUAUUCCUGUACCACCUAUAAUCGUUUUAAUCGAUGGGGGGACGCAGUAGGAUAGGCGAAGCGUGCGAUUGGAUUGCACGUCUAAGCAGUAAGGCUGAGUAUUAGGCAAAUCCGGUACUCGUUAAGGCUGAGCUGUGAUGGGGAGAAGACAUUGUGUCUUCGAGUCGUUGAUUUCACACUGCCGAGAAAAGCCUCUAGAUAGAAAAUAGGUGCCCGUACCGCAAACCGACACAGGUAGUCAAGAUGAGAAUUCUAAGGUGAGCGAGCGAACUCUCGUUAAGGAACUCGGCAAAAUGACCCCGUAACUUCGGGAGAAGGGGUGCUCUUUAGGGUUAACGCCCAGAAGAGCCGCAGUGAAUAGGCCCAAGCGACUGUUUAUCAAAAACACAGGUCUCUGCUAAACCGUAAGGUGAUGUAUAGGGGCUGACGCCUGCCCGGUGCUGGAAGGUUAAGAGGAGUGGUUAGCUUCUGCGAAGCUACGAAUCGAAGCCCCAGUAAACGGCGGCCGUAACUAUAACGGUCCUAAGGUAGCGAAAUUCCUUGUCGGGUAAGUUCCGACCCGCACGAAAGGCGUAACGAUUUGGGCACUGUCUCAACGAGAGACUCGGUGAAAUCAUAGUACCUGUGAAGAUGCAGGUUACCCGCGACAGGACGGAAAGACCCCGUGGAGCUUUACUGUAGCCUGAUAUUGAAAUUCGGCACAGCUUGUACAGGAUAGGUAGGAGCCUUUGAAACGUGAGCGCUAGCUUACGUGGAGGCGCUGGUGGGAUACUACCCUAGCUGUGUUGGUUUUCUAACCCGCACCACUUAUCGUGGUGGGAGACAGUGUCAGGCGGGCAGUUUGACUGGGGCGGUCGCCUCCUAAAAGGUAACGGAGGCGCUCAAAGGUUCCCUCAGAAUGGUUGGAAAUCAUUCAUAGAGUGUAAAGGCAUAAGGGAGCUUGACUGCGAGACCUACAAGUCGAGCAGGGUCGAAAGACGGACUUAGUGAUCCGGUGGUUCCGCAUGGAAGGGCCAUCGCUCAACGGAUAAAAGCUACCCCGGGGAUAACAGGCUUAUCUCCC
rnacentral:rRNA from 1 species